AGAGUUUGAUCAUGGCUCAGAAUCAACGCUGGCGGCGCGCCUAACACAUGCAAGUCGAACGAGAAAGGGCCUUCGGGCCUGAGUAAAGUGGCGCACGGGUGAGUAACACGUGGGUAUGCACCUUCUGGUGGGGAAUAACCCUGGGAAACCGGGGCUAAUACCGCAUAACUCCGAGAGGAAAAAGUCGUAAGACGCCGGUAGAGCAGCCCGCGGCCGAUUAGCUUGUUGGUGAGGUAAUGGCUCACCAAGGCGACGAUCGGUAGCCGGCCUGAGAGGGCACACGGCCACACUGGCACUGAGACACGGGCCAGACUCCUACGGGAGGCAGCAGUGGGGAAUAUUGGACAAUGGGCGAAAGCCUGAUCCAGCAAUGCCGCGUGUGUGAAGAAGGCCUGCGGGUUGUAAAGCACUUUCGUUGAGGAGGAUUGUUAAGUGGUUUAAUAGACCAUUUAAUUGACGUUACUCAAAGAAGAAGCACCGGCUAACUCUGUGCCAGCAGCCGCGGUAAUACAGAGGGUGCGAGCGUUAAUCGGAAUUACUGGGCGUAAAGGGUGCGUAGGUGGUUACUUAAGUUAGGUGUGAAAUCCCAGGGCUCAACCUUGGAACUGCGCUUGAUACUGGGUAACUAGAGUACUAGAGAGGAGUGUGGAAUUUCCGGUGUAGCGGUGAAAUGCGUAGAUAUCGGAAGGAACACCAGUGGCGAAGGCGGCACUCUGGCUAGAAACUGACACUGAUGCACGAAAGCGUGGGGAGCAAACAGGAUUAGAUACCCUAGUAGUCC
rnacentral:rRNA from 1 species